rnacentral:rRNA from 1 species
UACAGAGGGUGCAAGCGUUAAUCGGAAUUACUGGGCGUAAAGCGCGCGUAGGCGGCUGCCUAAGUCGGGUGUGAAAGCCCCGGGCUCAACCUGGGAACUGCACUCGAUACUGGGCGGCUAGAGUAUGAGAGAGGGAGGUAGAAUUCCACGUGUAGCGGUGAAAUGCGUAGAUAUGUGGAGGAAUACCGGUGGCGAAGGCGGCCUCCUGGCUCAAUACUGACGCUGAGGUGCGAAAGCGUGGGGAGCAAACAGG